CUUGGCAGUAACUAAUUGGUAGCGACACAAGGAGAAUAUUCUUCCUGACAUCAGACCAAGAUUACCAUUACAAAAUUUGAGACUUGGCAGUAACUAAUUGGUAGCGACACAAGGAGAAUAUUCUUCCUGACAUCAGACCAAGAUUACCAUUACAAAAUUUGAGAUUCGACAGUAAUCGAUAGCAAAAUGGAGGAAUCACUCCACAAGUUAGCUAUUGAAAUUAGAGAGUCCAAAUUCACAUAUAUUCCACUCUAAAAUCUCAUACUUUCAACGUUGAGUGCAAGUUACCUUGCAAUUGGCAUCAUAAUAUUUCGCUACACUCUGCAAUCCCAAUCCCCAUGCAAAUUGACUUUGCCCUAGCUUAAUUUAGUCCGGACAAGACAUGGCAAUCUGUCACCAACUAUGCUGCACGAUUGCAGCUGAGAGGCAAUGGCCGACUCUACUACCAUUGAAGUUAGAGAGCCUAAAUCCAUACAUGUCCCACACUGAUUUUUUUUUUUAAAUGCGGGCAUAAGCUAUUUUGCAAUUGUUAUCGCAACAAUAACUUGCAUCUCAUAUUUUCUUCGGGCUCGGGCUUGGUAUGAGUGGGGAACUCGGGCGUGGAAUUCUUAGCCCACGUAUAUACAAAUGGAUGAGCUUAGCCUAACCUGGUUAUGCCCAGACAAGAUCAGGUACACUCUUUUAUAACAAGCAACGUUAUUUAUUUAAUCUUUUGGAAUGCCCUCUGAUGGGGCAAAGUUCAAUUUGGUGAAUGAUAGCUGGGAUACAGUGGAUUUCUCUAUGUUGUGUACUGUGCAUUUAUUUUGACAUAAUCAUAACUCAAGUCACAGCCCCAUGCUUGUCCACUUCCUGUUCCAUCACCCACAGAAAUGUAGAUUCCAACUGUACCGUGGGUCUCACCAGCCUUCUUGAGAUAGUUACCAGCUGCAGCCCUAUCAAAUGCAAGUGGUUGCCCCUUAUCCAUCAGCAAAAUAUCCCCCAGCAUAAUGUGGAGGUUGUUCUGGUGGAAAGGAAUCCCUGCAUGGCCAGCAGCAGCAGCAAUCCGUCCCCAAUUUGGAUCUCUGCCAUACACUGCUGCCUUGACAAGUGAAGAAGAUGCCACUGAGCGUGCGAUCUUUGCUGCUUUCACCUCACUUUCUGCACCAGUCACUAUUACCUCAAUUAGGCAUGUAGCUCCUUCUCCAUCCCAAGCUAUUGAUUUGGCAAGACCUUGCAUUACUGCAUCAAGGCAAGCUUGAAGUUGCACUGCCUCAUUGCAGUUGAUAGAUGAUAUUGGGGUUGAUCCAGAUAAACCACUAGCCAAAGCAAUGACUGUAUCGUUGGUGCUAGUAUCUCCAUCUACUGUUAUUUGGUUGAAACUCCGAUUAACAGCAAUUUGUACCAUCUUCCUCCAAACAUCACUUUUGACAAGUGCAUCAGUGGUUAUUACCUGAAACAAUAAAACUCUUAAAGAAUGGGAUGAAAAUAUGUGCUACUGUGGAAAAAUCAAGAUAGAUGCAGAAGAGAUGUACACCAAGCAUGGUGGCCAUAUUAGGGUGGAUCAUCCCAGAACCUUUGGCCAUUCCUCCAACUCGUAUGUUUGUUCCUCCAACUUGGGACUCAAUUGCCACACUCUUGCUCACAAGGUCGGUAGUUGUAAUCGCCACUGCAGCAGAAAGUGCCCCGUCAAUAGAUGAUGUGAGAGAAUUAACUAAUCUUGGAACUGCAUUUAGAAGUGCUUCCUUUUUUAUUCGUUGACCAAUUACACCUGUGGAUUCAAUCAAAACCUCCUCUCGCUUCACUUUAAGCAUCAUAGCUAGGGUGUCAGCACAUUCUAGCACAUCCUGGUAACCCGCAUCACCUGUUGCUGCAUUUGCUUGACCGGCAUUUAUUAAUACUGCACGUGCCACUUUGGAAAUAUCUAAUGCUUUUUUACAAUACAAGACAGGUGCAGCAGCAACCAUGUUUGUAGUGAAUGCCCCUGCAGCUGUGGCAUCGAUGUCACAAGUUACAAGUGCAAGAUCAGGUUUCUCUCCCUUGGCACGUAAUCCACCAUAGAUGCCUGCAGCUUUGAAUCCCUUUGCAGCAGUAAUUCCCCCAGGAAUCUCCUUCCAUGGCCCUUCUGGGAUAAAAAUGGGAGCUGCUGGGAUAAAAUUGGACGGCUCGUUCACACUUGAAGCAACCGCAAAUACCUUAAAAUCCCUCUUAGUCAAACUAAAGGGGCUCAAAAUCUUAGAAGUGUGUAGUUCAGGGAGUUUAAUGGAAACAUAGUGAAGAGUACAGGAAUUCAUGCUUUGGUAGAGUGGGCGUGAGCUGAUCUCUAGAAAUUAGCGGAGCAGCAGUGAGCGGGUAGUGUAGCGAAUAGACAAUAGGGUUUUGGUUUUUUAAAAAGGUGGAGUCAAUUCUAC
rnacentral:misc_RNA from 1 species